GUCGCUAAUGUUCUUCCGGUGACGUAACGUUAAGAUGUGGGUGUUGCAGCUAGCUUAACGUUUACUGACUAACUAGCUAACUGCUAGCGGUAGACUUUGGGCUCAAAUUAGGGACAGUUGUUAGACAGGCUUGGAUUUCAUGGUGCCUCCCGCUGAUCAACACCGUCUACAAGGAGACAGACGCCCAGUGUUGCUGCAGAAUCUAUCCAGAUGUCACCGAUACCACAGACACGGGCACAAAGCUUGGUCUGCGUGAUCGUUUAUUUAGUUCGUAGCGUUCACUUUGAACCGUCAGCUGAGACCUGCACCGCUCUGACUCGCGGUAAUACGAUUCCUUGUGUGAUUAAAUCUGGAAAAUGCACUGCUAAAACUGGAGUGAACCAGGAGACAUCAGAGAGAUGAAGAGAAAGACACCAGAACAACAGUGUCAUCCUUCCUUCGUCAUCAAACUGGAAGUGGAAGAGCUCAGAUUAGUAAAUUCUUCUGCAGGAGAACUGAAUGUGUUGGAGCUCCACCGACGGACGAACGGACGGGUUCUGCUCAAACAAAUAGAGAAUCUACAACCAACAGACUAUUGCAACCGAUACGACAAAGAAAAGUGAGUUGGCCCAAAACCAUUUCAAGAGCAAAUAGCAAGAAGCUGGCAGCAGGUAUGACACACGGGGACACUGAGAGAGAGACCGGGACCAGGGAAUGAGUGGAGCAGUCAGCGUUUAGGUCAAAACAUCUCUGCCGUCAGACGUGAUGGUCAGACACGUGGUCGUCUUUCUCAGCAUCAACCGACACAAAAAGGACGGGAACUUGUUUCAGCUGUAAGCAGUGAUGUUAAACUUGCUAUAAUAAAUUCAGAUCUGAAUACAUCA